UCCCUCUUUGGCAAGGAGAUGGAGUUGUUGCUUUUCUGUUCAUUUUUUGAAAUGGAAUUGCCAGCAUGCUAAAGAUACACCAUUCAGUUCUCAUCCCACUUUGCAUAGCUUGGAAUCUAUGAUCCUGCAAAUAUCUUUUAACUGCAUUUUGAUCAAGCAUAUCCACAGAUGGGAUGAAGAGAAUGAUUCAGCUGCUUCUCAAAAUCCCUACCUCAUUGGCAAGGACUUUUCAACUGUGGCUGCGCCUAAGACAAUUUUAGCAAAAACCAUGUGGGAAAAAUGUAGGAAAUUGUUAGUGCCCAAUAUACAGACGAUAGCAAUACAAGGUGCAAUCUAAAAAGGAAGAUAAUUAACAGCCAUAUGGGUAACUUCAGUUCAUAUUUUUGCAAAGAACUUUGGGAAUAUUGACUCAUGGAAAUGGAGCCUGUGUAAGACACAAAUGAUACUUUUGAACAUCUGCCAGCAAGUAUGUCAACUACCUGUCCAAGAAAAUAAAGAACUAUUGUUGCUCCAGCUCAAGUCUUUGUCUUCAUUUGUAUUUCUUUUUUGAUGGCACAAAUAUAAAUAAUGCCAUUUAAAAAUGUCAGAGUUGUUUCCAAUUUGGACUAAGGAGAG
rnacentral:lncRNA from 1 species